rnacentral:tRNA from 1 species
GGGGACGGCCCAUGGCUCAGUGGCACAGCAUCUGCUUGGCAUGCGGAAGGUCCCAGGUUCAAUCCCCAGCAGCCUCUCCA